rnacentral:rRNA from 1 species
AUUGAACGCUGGCGGCAUGCCUUACACAUGCAAGUCGAACGGUAACGCGGGGCAACCUGGCGACGAGUGGCGAACGGGUGAGUAAUGUAUCGGAACGUGCCCAGUUGUGGGGGAUAACUGCUCGAAAGAGCAGCUAAUACCGCAUACGACCUGAGGGUGAAAGCGGGGGAUCGCAAGACCUCGCGCAAUUGGAGCGGCCGAUAUCAGAUUAGGUAGUUGGUGGGGUAAAGGCCCACCAAGCCAACGAUCUGUAGCUGGUCUGAGAGGACUACCAACCACACUGGGACUGAGACACGGCCCAGACUCCUACGGGAGGCAGCAGUGGGGAAUUUUGGACAAUGGACGCAAGUCUGAUCCAGCCAUGCCGCGUGCGGGAAGAAGGCCUUCGGGUUGUAAACCGCUUUUGUCAGGGAAGAAAAGGGCGACUUUAAUACAGUUGCCUCAUGACGGUACCUGAAGAAUAAGCACCGGCUAACUACGUGCCAGCCGCCGCAGUAAAAC